rnacentral:rRNA from 1 species
UACAGAGGUCCCAAGCGUUGUUCGGAUUCACUGGGCGUAAAGGGUGCGCAGGUGGGUUUGCAAGUUCGAUGUGAAAGCCCCGGGCUUAACCCGGGAAUGGCAUUGGAUACUGCAGAUCUGGAGGAUCGGAGGGGGGACUGGAAUUCUUGGUGUAGCAGUGAAAUGCGUAGAUAUCAAGAGGAACACCAGUGGCGCAAGCGGCUGACUGGCCGAGACCUGACGCUGAGACACGACGGCGUGGGGAGCAAACCGG